AAAAGUUCAAAUUUGUAUGGAGCUGGAACGCUUGCUUGCGUUUGCCGCUAUGGGCGCUGUUUCAAUUGCAUACAAAUUGGGGUUA
rnacentral:pre_miRNA from 1 species